rnacentral:rRNA from 1 species
CCCUUAGAUGUUCUUGGCUGCACGCGCGCUACACUGAUGCGAUCAACAAGUUUUUCCUAUGUCGAUAGACACGGGUAAUCUUUUGAACUCGCAUCGUGAUGGGGAUAGAUUAUUGUAAUUAUUAAUCUUCAACGAGGAAUUCCUAGUAGGUGCAAAUCAUCAGUUUGCAUCGAUUACGUCCCUGCCCUUUGUACACACCGCCCGUCGCUGCUACCGAUUGGUUGAUCUGGUGAAUUAUUCGGACUGCCGGCUGAAGGGGUUUCCUCAUCUGCCAGCGGAAAGUCUUGUUAACCCUAUCAACUAGAGGAAGCAGAAGUCGUAACA